UACGAAGGGGGCUAGCGUUGUUCGGAAUUGCUGGGCGUAAAGCGCACGUAGGCGGGUUGUUAAGUCAGGGGUGAAAUCCUGGAGCUCAACUCCAGAACUGCCUUUGAUACUGGCAACCUAGAGACUGGAAGAGGUUAGUGGAAUUCCCAGUGUAGAGGUGAAAUUCGUAGAUAUUGGGAAGAACACCAGUGGCGAAGGCGGCUAACUGGUCCAGCACUGACGCUGAGGUGCGAAAGCGUGGGGAGCAAACAGG
rnacentral:rRNA from 1 species